ACCCCGGUAGUGCAGCGGUUAGCACGCGACGUUGGAAAAGGUGAGACGUGGGUAUGACUCCCUCCCGGAGUG